UACGAAGGGGGCUAGCGUUGCUCGGAAUCACUGGGCGUAAAGCGCACGUAGGCGGAUUGCUAAGUCAGGGGUGAAAUCCUGGAGCUCAACUCCAGAACUGCCUUUGAUACUGAGAAGCUUGAGUCCGGGAGAGGUGAGUGGAACCGCGAGUGUAGAGGUGAAAUUCGUAGAUAUUCGCAAGAACACCAGUGGCGAAGGCGGCUCACUGGCCCGGUACUGACGCUGAGGUGCGAAAGCGUGGGGAGCAAACAGG
rnacentral:rRNA from 1 species